rnacentral:rRNA from 1 species
UACGUAGGGUGCAAGCGUUAAUCGGAAUUACUGGGCGUAAAGCGUGCGCAGGCGGUUGUGCAAGACAGAUGUGAAAUCCCCGGGCUCAACCUGGGAAUUGCGUUUGAAACUACGGAGCUGGAGUGUGGCAGAGGGAGGUAGAAUUCCACGUGUAGCGGUGAAAUGCGUAGAUAUGUGGAGGAAUACCGAUGGCGAAGGCAGCCUCCUGGGCCAACACUGACGCUCAUGCACGAAAGCGUGGGGAGCAAACAGG